UCCAAAAGGAAGAGAAAUUGAAGAUUAUUCUUUUUUUCCUUGUUUUCUCUUCCGGGUCCUGUGCUACAGGGGUUUGGAACUUUUAGGAAGCAUUCACUAGUAAAACAGUAGAAUUCUUGUUGGACUGGUGCCCUGGGAUCGGGAACGGACGUGAGAGCGAGUUUGGGCCGUGGAUCUCGAUCCGGCGGUGGGGAGCCCAUUAGUUCUCCCCCCUUAACCCUAGCCGCCCCCUCCCCUAUUCCCCUUUGGUUGCAGCCGCCCCCCCUCCCUAUUCCCCUUUGUGGCCGCCACCCCCCUCUCUCUCCCUCUCCUUCUUCCCCAAGUGAUUGCAGCACCACCCCUCAACCCUAGCCCCCCCCUCCUCCUCUCCAUGGUGCAUCCUCCCCGCUUGGUACCCCGUCGUGUGGGUGCGAGUCUUCCAUUGGAGUUUGGAGGGAGGAAGAAGGAAGAAUGGAAGGAGGAAAGGAGGAACCCAAGGUGGUGGACUUCCGGAUCGUACUUAGGGAUUUGCCCGAACUUCCGGUAAAGGCAAGUAAAUAUAGUGGUGGUUGCUACCGUUUGGUUUGCAUCCUAUUCCCUGUCAUUGAGUAUGCAUAAGUUUUUAAUUAUGUUAAUCAUUGAAUUCUAUGAUGAAGUUUAUUUGUUUGGAAGUAUUAAUUCUCAAUUGUCUAAUAUUGUGGAUGAUCAUAAUUUGGUUAUGAUAUAUGUGGUUGAUUCCCAUCUUGGAUGAAGUUGAAGUAUCUUUUUGAAUCACGUUAUAUGAAGUGUUGUAGGCAUGACAUGCACAUCGCAUCAUCCAUCUUGCAUUUUGAAGUUAUGUCGUGAUCUUAUGGUCCGACCGUACCGGUACAUUUUUAGCAUCGUACGUUGCCCGAGGAGGGGUACGAUGCGGCUUCAUAUCCUUAGAGGUAUGAAGGCAGAAGUCAUCCUUGCAUUUGCAGACAUUUGCAUUCAUGAGGAAUAUAUGAAGUGUGACAUUACUAUGUUACUAUUGUGGUUUCUACCUACGAGGUGUGGUAACUAGGUGUGUUGUACGUUGUAUACGUGCUGCAUCUUGGUAAUAAGAAGGUUGUGGAAUCAGGUGGUGGUAAAACAAUGUUCUUAUGUGGUUGAAUAGUUUGAUAUUAUUUUACUUGCUGAGAUGUGUCAUCUCACUCUUGCAUUACUCAAUGCAGGUACUUGAUACAUGUUGGGAAUGAGGGGAGUAGCAGCACGUCCACUUACACUCUCACAAUAACGCUGCCCAGGCGCAGCCAUGAUUUAAUUAGAAACUUAUUGUCAAAGGAAGUUUGUUUUUUUUAUAUAGUCGUGCGCACUGGUUAAUUCAGUUCAGGUCGUACGUUUAUCUUCCCUUGCUAGCCGAUUAAUAAUACUUAGUAUGUUUUUGUCAUGAUAUAUGUUUAUACCCUGUUGCCCCCUUAUUUAUGCAAUCUUGCAAAGGGGAUGCUGCCGAAAUUUUAUAUAUGGACGUCAGAAGUGUAGUUCAGUAGCAUUCUGGGUUGUUUGUGGAACCCGGGGUGUUACAGUUGGUAUCAGAGGAUAGGCUUUAGAUUCUACGCAAUUUGAAGAUAAAUUUGACACACUUGCACAUAUAGGAAGGGUAUGGGUUCAUAUAUCUUUUAUAUUAGUUUUUUAUUGUAUAGAUGACUAGAAUUUCCUUACUCCAAAUCCCUUUAUGGUUUGAUGGGGUAUGUCGUUAACGACGUAAUGCUUGAUAUGAUAUGUUACUUCUAUUUAAUAUUGGUUUCUUGAUGUGGUUGUUAUUGAAAUUAUUAUGCAAGUGAAGCUACUAAUGUACUUGUUUUAUAUACAUAUCGUCAUAAUGUUGUUUUUGGAUGCAAUGUUUACUAAUCUCUGAGCUAUUACUAUCAUACAUUUCUGUAUGCUUGACUGUGGAUGUUUUAUUUUCCAAAAGGAUUCUUGGGUUCUAGUACUUAUAGGACCGAUUGUUUAUUGAGCUUGUGUAUAAAGGAUCUAUUCCGACUUGGUGUAGUGUGAAAACACUAUACAAUGUAGUUUUUUGGUGUUGUUGAGUUUGAUUGACUGUUGGGUUACAACCCAACUUAUCAAUGUAAUAUUUCCAUGGGUGCAGUGCUUUACACCUCACCUUUUUUUGGCUAGUGUGGCUACUUGCCAACUUGAUCUUAGAGUACAAUAGGUUUGUCUCCAUAGAGCAAAGGCAAUGUUGUACUGUCUAUGAAAUCUUGAGACUGGUAGAACUCAAGUGAAUUUGUAAGAUGACGUGGAUAGAUAAGUUCAACCAUGUUUACAUGAUAGGUUUUCUUAUUGUGUGCAACCUUAUCUUUAAUAAUAAAUAGGGUGAUUUCAAGUGGAUUUUAUGUCUAUAUUAUAGUUGAAGAGGCAUGCAUGUUUUCCUUCUAUGGUUUGUUUCUAUAGCCAAAAAGGUUAUGCAUAAUUUUUAUUUGUUGGAGGCUAGUCAUGUGGACGAUAUGGACAACCCGUUUUAUAUUGUUUUUAAUCGCCGAUGAUAUAUGGUAGUUUUUUUAUAUGAUUAGUUCUCUAUGCAUGCUUGUUAAAUUAUCAUUUGGACCGCUUUAUCUUAAACAAAGUCAAUGUUUAACUGGAAGUUGCUUAUGUUUGUUAGUCCUCUAUCUCUAUAAUGAUGUGGUUGUUGCAUCAGAUGGAGAUUUUUUUAUAUGAAUGAUGGUUUGAUAGAUCAUGUAUGUCUUCUACUUUGAAGUCAUCCUAUGACAUCACGAGGUACAAAUUGUUCAAGUGCAAUAAUAGGAGGUAUUGUUGUAUGUGAGGUUAAUCAAGGUAGUUUGGUUAGGUGGAUUGUCUUAUUGAAGUCCAAUUACCCCUGUUGAGCAUAGUAUCGUGAUAUUAUUUUAGUGUUGAAAGUAAUAUUUAUGAUGCUUAUGCAUGAGUCUGUGUCAAGAAGUACAUUAGUUUUUCUUGUUGUUAUCCCUCCAUUGCUUUAUGAGUAUUGCAAAUUUUAUCUCUUUUGAGAGGAGAAAAAGAUGUUAUAUGACAUGAGCACCAUUUGCUUCACGUCAACAUAAUAGUUUUGGAAAUUUCUAGUAGUUGGAUUCUAGUGUAAUAACAACCAUGUUUUAUAGUGCUGGAGACGGGUAUGUCAGGUGUUUCAUACAUUGUCGAUACAGGGAUGUUUGACCUUAGUGGCAUUAACAAACGAGGUUGUUGAAUUCAUUGAUUGUUGUGCUUAGUGUUCUAACCUAUUUGGUAGAGCGUUAUUUAAAGACUUUGUGGAGUUACAUCCCAGUGUGGUAGUGGAAAAUCCUAGUGUUGAUUGCACCUGCCAAUGACUUGGGUUUCAUUUUAUAUUGUUUUUUUAUUGUUGAUAAUGUGUUGUUUGGUUUUGGGAGGCAUUUUAAAUUAGUUGGAGGCUGAAUCAGGCUUCACUUAUCUAGAAUGUUUUGUAGUAUGUUCCUUCAUCUUUCCAUAGGAUGUUUAAUCACCAUGUUUGGUCUAAACAUUUGGGAGAUAGGGGUUUCUUAAAACAUCCUUGUUGGUGUCUCUAGCAGAGUGAGUCUUUAAUUUUGUACGGAAGUGUAGACAUUGAAGACGGUAUAAUUUGGUCUUUGUGGAUUAUGAAAGUUUUAGUAAUUUCAUGAUCUUUUCAAAGAGUAUUGGUUUCUAAUUCUCAUUGCAUAUAAUUGGAGUUAGGUUGCUCUGAAGUUGUUGCACUGUUGUGUCUGAACUUUAGGCAUCGUUAUAAUCACCAAUAAAUCGACCGCAUUUUGAUAGUUGCAGAGCCCAAAUUUGCGAAUUCUCUUGAAGCAAAACUUGUAGGUCUUUUCAGUACCUUUUUAAUGGGUAUUUACUUGUAACUGUCUGUUAAAUAGAUUUGGAGAGGUGGUUGCCCGGAUAUAAGUCGAAUCUCUAAUGUGCAGUAUCUCAGGCUGAGUUUAGCUGUAGGUCAUGCAGAGUUGAGGGCUAUAAGGAUAAAUUUGGGUGCAACUUUAUUGCAAAAGUCGUGGACAAUUUUCAAAACUUUUCCAACGCGUGUUCGUUGUAGUUUAAGUUGUGUAUAGCAGGAGUUAUAAGUUUUUGAAUAUUAGUUGUCCAUUGUUUCAAUCCUAUCGGUUUUGCAACAAAAGAGUUGCUUUGUUUUAUCAGUUUGGAAACCAAUUCCAAGACACUCAUUAUAAUAAGAGUUCUAGGGAAUGUUAUAAUCUUUUCAAUGAGUUUAUAUUUGCAAAAUUUUGUUAGCUGCAGGGAGUUAUGAUAUAAUGUAUAGAAUGUGCUUGGAUGAAUAUGUGGGCAGACAUAACAUGUUUAAAUUGAUUCUUGUUUGCAUGAUGUGAGAUUAGGCCUAAAUGGUUUAAAAAGUUAUCAUAUUGCUUCUAUACUUAUAUUUGUUCUAGGUGUCUCGUAAUGAAGAACCUAAAGUUAUUAGUCUUUCAAUGACCACUUAAUCUUAGAAGAGUAAUGAACCUGAUAAAAUCUAUUGCUUGUUGCUGGGAUUGCAUGACCAGUUUUAGUUAUGCAGCUAGUUCAAUGAAGUAAACCAUCUUUUCUGUAGAGAUGUUAUAUAUAAAAGUUGUAGCCAACUUCUUUAUCUUACUUGUGUAAAAAUUUCAUGACCAUAGGUCUAGAAGUUUGGGAGUUAUGAUUUUCUCAAGUCCAGUCUUGAAAUCUGUGCAGAUUCUGUACAGAUUUCGAAGCUGACCUUGUUUGCCCAAUUUAAACUUCGAAUAACUUAUUAUAAAUUAUAAAGAAGUUGUAGUACUCUUCUUAAUCUUUUCAACAAAUUUUGGAUUACCUUUUUUGGAGAUCUAUAAGUUAAGUUACAGCUGUUUUAAGUGUGAUCUCUGAAUCUGUCCAAAUUUGGACAGCAGAGCCUUUCUCGUGUCUUUUGACCUUGAUAUGCAUUGAAUUAACUUGAUAUGUUUACAAAUGAAUUAUAGACAAUUCUACUAGCUUUCUAAAAAGUCUGGGAGCACCUGAAUUGGAUGAUUGAGACUCCAAUUAUGGAUUUCUGAAUUGAGUAGUUGAAUUAUGUCCAAGUCUGGACAGAAUUUACGUUUAGCAUUGUUUGACCUUUCUAAGUGUCAAAUCUUGUUGUGAUGAUAAUACCAAGGGUAUAGUGGACUUUAUAAGCUUUCCAUAAAGUCCUAGUUUACUAAUUUUCGAUGCAUAUUCUGUGAGUUAGGAGCAAAAUAAUUAACCGUUGUGUUGUUGUCUAGAAAUAUGCAAGCAUUAAGUUGCUCUCUUGAAGUUGCUCUUGUUUAGCUAAGUUUUGUUUAGGCUAUAGGAACACUAUAUGAAUUGCAUUAAUAUAUACAUUCAUUGAAGUACUUGCAUGUGUCAAUAUUGAUUUGGUGUCUAGAAAGCUUUGUCCGAGGUAUAAAGGACCGUCUACUAUCUUAGCCGAGGUGGCAGCUGGGCUUAUCACUUGCAAUUGUCGGAAUCUAUGAUCAGAGUACACCAUGUAUUCCAUGUAUUUAUGUUGAGGAAGUAUUUGUGGAAUCCAGACCAUCUAAUCGAGCUAGAGCCGAUUCCCGUGUAGCAAGACCAGACUCUUGAGUGACGUCUGCUGCGUAUCUUAGAAUCCUAGGAACUUGAGGAGCUGAUGCGGCAGAAGUACCCAAACUUUUUCGUUAUGUGUGAGUUUUGUUGAUUCAUUAAUCUUUUUUUUGUCAUUCCGAUAGAAGCGUCGGAAUUCGAGGUCGAAUUCUUUUUAAGGAGGGUAGAGUGUGAUACCCAAUUUCCAAAAGGAAGAGAAAUUGAAGAUUAUUCUUUUUUUCCUUGUUUUCUCUUCCGGGUCCUGUGCUACAGGGGUUUGGAACUUUUAGGAAGCAUUCACUAGUAAAACAGUAGAAUUCUUGUUGGACUGGUGCCCUGGGAUCGGGAACGGACGUGAGAGCGAGUUUGGGCCGUGGAUCUCGAUCCGGCGGUGGGGAGCCCAUUAGUUCUCCCCCCUUAACCCUAGCCGCCCCCUCCCCUAUUCCCCUUUGGUUGCAGCCGCCCCCCCUCCCUAUUCCCCUUUGUGGCCGCCACCCCCCUCUCUCUCCCUCUCCUUCUUCCCCAAGUGAUUGCAGCACCACCCCUCAACCCUAGCCCCCCCCUCCUCUCCAUGGUGCAUCCUCCCCGCUUGGUACCCCGUCGUGUGGGUGCGAGUCUUCCAUUGGAGUUUGGAGGGAGGAAGAAGGAAGAAUGGAAGGAGGAAAGGAGGAACCCAAGGUGGUGGACUUCCGGAUCGUACUUAGGGAUUUGCCCGAACUUCCGGUAAAGGCAAGUAAAUAUAGUGGUGGUUGCUACCGUUUGGUUUGCAUCCUAUUCCCUGUCAUUGAGUAUGCAUAAGUUUUUAAUUAUGUUAAUCAUUGAAUUCUAUGAUGAAGUUUAUUUGUUUGGAAGUAUUAAUUCUCAAUUGUCUAAUAUUGUGGAUGAUCAUAAUUUGGUUAUGAUAUAUGUGGUUGAUUCCAUCUUGGAUGAAGUUGAAGUAUCUUUUUGAAUCACGUUAUAUGAAGUGUUGUAGGCAUGACAUGCACAUCGCAUCAUCCAUCUUGCAUUUUGAAGUUAUGUCGUGAUCUUAUGGUCCGACCGUACCGGUACAUUUUUAGCAUCGUACGUUGCCCGAGGAGGGGUACGAUGCGGCUUCAUAUCCUUAGAGGUAUGAAGGCAGAAGUCAUCCUUGCAUUUGCAGACAUUUGCAUUCAUGAGGAAUAUAUGAAGUGUGACAUUACUAUGUUACUAUUGUGGUUUCUACCUGCGAGGUGUGGUAACUAGGUAUGUUGUACGUUGUAUACGUGCUGCAUCUUGGUAAUAAGAAGGUUGUGGAAUCAGGUGGUGGUAAAACAAUGUUCUUAUGUGGUUGAAUAGUUUGAUAUUAUUUUACUUGCUGAGAUGUGUCAUCUCACUCUUGCAUUACUCAAUGCAGGUACUUGAUACAUGUUGGGAAUAAGGGGAGUAGCAGCACGUCCACUUACACUCUCACAAUAACGCUGCCCAGGCGCAGCCAUGAUUUAAUUAGAAACUUAUUGUCAAAGGAAGUUUGUUUUUUUAUAUAGUCGUGCGCACUGGUUAAUUCAGUUGAGGUCGUACGUUUAUCUUCCCUUGCUAGCCGAUUAAUAAUACUUAGUAUGUUUUUGUC